rnacentral:rRNA from 1 species
UACAGAGGGUGCGAGCGUUAAUCGGAAUUACUGGGCGUAAAGGGCGCGUAGGCGGCCUUCUAAGUCGAACGUGAAAUCCCCGGGCUCAACCCGGGAACUGCGUCCGAUACUGGAAGGCUUGAAUCCGGGAGAGGGAUGCGGAAUUCCAGGUGUAGCGGUGAAAUGCGUAGAUAUCUGGAGGAACACCGGUGGCGAAGGCGGCAUCCUGGACCAUUACUGACACUGAAAAGCGAAAGCCAGGGGAGCAAACGGG